GCUAGGGUUUUCAAGCUUUCCAAGCUCAAUAGUAAGUCCGUUCUAGCCCCGUUUUUCAAGUUCUUUACGUUUUUGGAAUCCCGGUAACUUGAUUAAGCUUAUGCUAGCAAUAAUUCAACCUAGGGUUCGUAUUUGGAAAAAUACCCAUAGGUAAAAUUUGUGUAUUUUGGUAUUUUAUUAUAUAAUAUGAGGUUUUAAAUUAUAUUAGACAACUUGUGCUACUCGAUUUUAAGUGAAAACGAGUAAAAGGGUUUAAUCGGUAAAAAUACCUAAUAGUCAUAAGUGCAUUUAGAGUGAGAAUUUGAUGUUGUCAUAGAAGGGAAAAAUGAUCAGCAUGUCAUAAAACAUAAGAAUAAGGGAUGAAGUUUAAUUCCCGAGCCUAGGGGCAAAAGUGUAAUUAUGCAAAAGUUUAGGGGCAAAAUGGUAAUUUUACCAAAGUUCGUAUUAAAUGCUAUUUUGAUGAAUGUAUGUAUUAAAUAAAUUAAUUUGAUAUUAUAGAUCAAGAGAAACGAGAUUCAAGUCGUGAUCGAGGGAAAAACAAAGUUUACAAGGAAUAGGCCCGAUUGCUAAUAUUUUGUAUCGAGGUAAGUUCGUAUGAUAAUAAUAAUGCAAUGUUAUGUUUGAAUUAUAUUUCUUACUAUUAUUGCAUAUAUUGUAUGAUUUAAUAUAUUGGAAAAGUUGAUGGAAUGGUGUUUAUGACGUAGAAAUAUGACAUGAAAGAAUGUUACAUGAAGUGCAAGAAAAUGAUGAUACAUGACAAGUGAUAUAUGAAAUAUGUGAUUUAUGUUAUGUAAAUUCUUAAAAGCUGAUUUUCUAUUUGAGUUGUGUCUUAUUAUACUAUGAAUGGACAAUUGGUACUAUGGAUAGUGAGAUCGACACUUCAAGUAAGUUCGUAUAUAAAUAAUCUAUCGAUUCUUUUUAUGUUAAUAUAUUUUGAUAUCAUAUGAAAUGUGGCUGCCUAUCAAAUGAUUAUUUGAUGUAAAUUAUGAAUUUAAAUUGAUUACGGACAAUUUAGUAAAAUGUUGAAAAGUGAGGACUUUCCCGGUUGAACCUUCGGAAUAGAAACAAUACCAAUGAGCUAUUGUGAGGUCACGUGUGUAGUACUAAGUGCAGGCUACUACGUGUACCGGAUAACUGGUCGCAUGUGUAGUACUAAGUGCAGGCUAUUAUGCGUACCAGAUAGCUUCGGCUACAAGUGUGGAAAUGAGAAAAUGUGCAGGCAAUUGUGUAUCUGUUAUUAUUCCGAUCAGUUCAACGGGAAAUUGAUUAAGUGAAAAUAAAUGUGAAAGUGAUUAUGUGAUGAACAAGUGCAAGUAUAUGUUUAUUUGAAUCUAUGAGCAAUAUGCUCGAUAUUUGAGCGAACCUCGGUAAAAUGGAAGGGAUUAAGUGAAAUUGUGCAAAAGUAAACUUUAGUAGUAAAACAAUGUUGGACAGCAACAGUGCAUGAAUUUGAAAAUUUACCAAAAAUUGUGUAAGUUGAAUUAAAUUUCAAAUAAAAUAUGUAAUUAAAUUUUAUUGAGUCUAUUUUCAAAUAAAAGAAACAGGGGAAGCAAAAGAAUUCCAUAUUAUGUGAUAUUUGAAUUCUUGUGAGAUAGUGUCUGAAUGAAUUCGAGAUCCCCUAUUCUGACUUGGAAAAAUUGUUAAAAAUUAUAGAAAAAUAAUUUUGGGGUAUAAUUUAUAUUCCUAGAAUCUUGGAUGAGUCUACUUUUAAUUAAAACAAACAAGAACAUCAUCCGAGUUUUGUACUAUGAGAUAAAUAAAUUUUAGUGAAGAAAGGUCGAAGCUGUUAAACAGCAAAACAGGGGAGAUUUUGAAUAAUAAACUGUACUUAUUGGCUGGACUAAAAAUUUUGAAAAUUUUAUGGUGGAAAUAUAUAUGAGUCUAGUUUUUUUGAAAAUUUACGGAUCUUAAUUUGGAGUUCCGUAACUCUGAAUAUAAAUGAUUUAGUGACUAUUACUCAAGAAAACAGCUUAACCAGAACAUGUGUAAAUGUACAAAUGAGGUAGUUUUAUUGUGGGAAGCAUGUUAGUAAAUUGCUUAUUAUUAUUUCAUGUGAGCUUACUAAGCAUAAAGCUUACCCCCCUCCUUUCCAUUUCUUUUAGUGUUGUCAGGUUAGCUCAGGGUUGGAGACCGUCGGAGGCAGCAUCACACUAUCAAGCCAACACCUUGACAGUAUAAACACAUAUGCUAGAUUUAUCAAGUGAGUGGCAUGUAUAGGGACCUAAUUUUAUAACAUGUGUUAUUAUUAUUUGGCCAAAUAUAUUGGUCUUUAGUGAGCUAAUGAUUCUGACUUAUAAAUCUAGCUAUUUAUGUUAUGUUUGAUAUUGGUGAUGUGCAUAUGCUUGGUUGUCAUGCAUGGUUGGUAAUAAGUUGUUUAAGUUGUUUAGUUGAUGAAUUAAGUUUAGAAACACUUCGUGCUUGACUCCGGCAAUGGUCUCGGGUACGGGGGCGUUACAUGUGACAUGUGGAGGAAGUAUUCUGUGAGGCGAUAUCUCGCUAAUAUACUGGCAGCACAGUUGCGAUUUUUCUAAAAAGUGUCGUAUGAACACUAUGUGGUGUGUAUGGCUGGGUGGGUGUUUUAUAUCCACGUGGUAUGUUGGGAUGGUCGGAGUUGGUGUGUAAAGGAUGGGGGUAGGACUAUGCAUAUCUAUAUCUGUUUGAUUCUGUUUAAAAUCUGAUUUUGUAAAAGGGAUUUAUGUUUGCAUCUGUUCUGUCAUGUGAUUGAAUUUAAAAUUAUAUUUCUGAUGAGUUACACACUGAGUUUCAUGACUGACUCUUUGUUUGUUCGAUCUGUUCAGGUAACCCUCAGACUUAGGAGGGUCUGUGCGACAGAAGCCCAGUGGUAACCACAUUUCCGUAUAAAUUUCAUGC
rnacentral:lncRNA from 1 species